rnacentral:misc_RNA from 1 species
UCCGAGUUGACCCCGGCAGUCUCCUACGAGUCCCCGCCAUUACGCGCUGGCAACAUAGAAUAAGGGUUGCGCUCGUUGCGGCACUUAAGCCAACACCUCACGGCACGAGCUGACGACAGCCAUGCAGCACCUGUGCUAGCCCCUUACGGACACGGGCUUUCACCCGCUUUAACUAGCAUGUCAAACCCAGGUAAGGUUCUUCGCGUUGCAUCGAAUUAAGCCACAUGCUCCGCCGCAUGUGCGGGUCCCCGUCAAUUCCUUUGAGUUUUAGCCUUGCGGCCGUACUCCCCAGGCGGCGGACUUAAUGCGUUAGCUUCGGCACAGACAGCUUGACGCCGCCCACACCUAGUCCGCACCGUUUACGGCCAGGACUAC